GAACGCUAGCUACAGGCUUAACACAUGCAAGUCGAGGGGCAGCAUGAACUUAGCUUGCUAAGUUUGAUGGCGACCGGCGCACGGGUGAGUAACACGUAUCCAACCUGCCGAUGACUCGGGGAUAGCCUUUCGAAAGAAAGAUUAAUACCCGAUGGCAUAGUUCUUCCGCAUGAUAGAACUAUUAAAGAAUUUCGGUCAUCGAUGGGGAUGCGUUCCAUUAGGUUGUUGGCGGGGUAACGGCCCACCAAGCCUUCGAUGGAUAGGGGUUCUGAGAGGAAGGUCCCCCACAUUGGAACUGAGACACGGUCCAAACUCCUACGGGAGGCAGCAGUGAGGAAUAUUGGUCAAUGGACGAGAGUCUGAACCAGCCAAGUAGCGUGAAGGAUGACUGCCCUAUGGGUUGUAAACUUCUUUUAUACGGGAAUAAAGUGAGGCACGUGUGCCUUUUUGUAUGUACCGUAUGAAUAAGGAUCGGCUAACUCCGUGCCAGCAGCCGCGGUAAUACGGAGGAUCCGAGCGUUAUCCGGAUUUAUUGGGUUUAAAGGGAGCGUAGGCGGACGCUUAAGUCAGUUGUGAAAGUUUGCGGCUCCAUCGUAAAAUUGCAGUUGAUACUGGGUGUCUUGAGUACAGUAAAGGCAGGCGGAAAUCGUGGUGUAGCGGUGAAAUGCUUAGAUAUCACGAAGAACUCCGAUUGCGAAGGCAGCCUGCUGGACUGUAACUGACGCUGAUGCUCGAAAGUGUGGGUAUCAAACAGGAUUAGAUACCCUGGUAGUCCACACAGUAAACGAUGAAUACUCGCUGUUUGCGAUAUACAGUAAGCGGCCAAGCGAAAGCGUUAAGUAUUCCACCUGGGGAGUACGCCGGCAACGGUGAAACUCAAAGGAAUUGACGGGGGCCCGCACAAGCGGAGGAACAUGUGGUUUAAUUCGAUGAUACGCGAGGAACCUUACCCGGGCUUGAAUUGCAACUGAAUGAUGUGGAGACAUGUCAGCCGCAAGGCAGUUGUGAAGGUGCUGCAUGGUUGUCGUCAGCUCGUGCCGUGAGGUGUCGGCUUAAGUGCCAUAACGAGCGCAACCCUUAUCGAUAGUUACCAUCAGGUUAUGCUGGGGACUCUGUCGAGACUGCCGUCGUAAGAUGUGAGGAAGGUGGGGAUGACGUCAAAUCAGCACGGCCCUUACGUCCGGGGCUACACACGUGUUACAAUGGGGGGUACAGAAGGCAGCUACACGGCGACGUGAUGCUAAUCCCUAAAGCCUCUCUCAGUUCGGAUUGGAGUCUGCAACCCGACUCCAUGAAGCUGGAUUCGCUAGUAAUCGCGCAUCAGCCACGGCGCGGUGAAUACGUUCCCGGGCCUUGUACACACCGCCCGUCAAGCCAUGAAAGCCGGGGGUACCUGAAGUGCGUAACCGCAAGGAGCGCCCUAGGGUAAAACUGGAG
rnacentral:rRNA from 1 species